rnacentral:rRNA from 1 species
UGGCGGACGGGUGAGUAAUGUCUGGGAAACUGCCCGAUGGAGGGGGAUAACUACUGGAAACGGUAGCUAAUACCGCAUAACGUCGCAAGACCAAAGAGGGGGACCUUCGGGCCUCUUGCCAUCGGAUAUGCCCAGAUGGGAUUAGCUAGUAGGUGGGGUAACGGCUCACCUAGGCGACGAUCCCUAGCUGGUCUGAGAGGAUGACCAGCCACACUGGAACUGAGACACGGUCCAG